rnacentral:rRNA from 1 species
GUGAGUAACGCGUGAGAAUCUGCCCUCAGGAGGGGGAUAACGGUUGGAAACGACCGCUAAUACCCCAUAUGCCGAGAGGUGAAAUGAAAUUCGCCUGAGGAUGAGCUCGCGUCUGAUUAGCUAGUUGGUGAGGUAAAGGCUCACCAAGGCUUCGAUCAGUAGCUGGUCUGAGAGGAUGAUCAGCCACACUGGGACUGAGACACGGCCCAGACUCCUACGGGAGGCAGCAGUGGGGAAUUUUCCGCAAUGGGCGCAAGCCUGACGGAGCAACGCCGCGUGAGGGAUGAAGGCCUCUGGGCUGUAAACCUCUUUUCUCAAGGAAGAAGACAUGACGGUACCUGAGGAAUAAGCCACGGCUAAUUCCGUGCCAGCAGCCGCGGUAAUACGGGAGUGGCAAGCGUUAUCCGGAAUUAUUGGGCGUAAAGCGUCCGCAGGCGGUCCUACAAGUCUGCCGUUAAA